rnacentral:lncRNA from 1 species
ACCCGCCAGCCCCGCGCUCUACCAGGCAGAGCGCGUGUGGCCGCCGAGCACAUGGACCCACUGGUCAAGCGGGCUCGGCAAGGCCAGGAUGAAGAGAAGCUACGAACUUAGCAUUCCCAGAGCCCCCCGAGUGGAUAUCCGCGUGGAAAGGAUGUUGGCAGCCCCGGUGACCUCGGAGUCACGGCUGGAUCCACCCUCUUAGAGCCGAGUUCUGUCACCACAGACAUUGGCAGUGGCACUUGCAUGCCCCUGGCAAGCAGUCUAUCCUGAGGUGGAGGAAGUUGCCCUUGAGUUCUGGCUGGUAACCAGCACAGUAUACCCUUUAAGCGUUCCAGAAGGAUUUUGAGAUCCUUUCCUAAAUCAAAGGUGGAAUAUUUGGGGAUUUGGAAAAUUGAGCAUUUUUUUCCCCACUUGCUUGACUGUAAUGCUAACAUGCUCUCUCUGCUCCAACCUGGAGAAGCCAGUCUCUCAGAAGAACCAGUUGUGUUACUUUGCUGUGAGAUGCCUGCCCUAAGAGAGGAGCAGAAGGUCGGAACGGGUCCUCUAAUGUGAUAAUUAGAUGUGAAGCGUUGACUUAAGAGAUGCCAAGUAACUCAGCAGAUGUCACACAGACGAUAAAUAGCAAAGAUGGAAGUCUUCAUGCCGGAGGCAAUCCUAUAAGACAGCUGAGUUCUGCAGAGCUGGUAGGAGACAGACUUGCUCAGGUGAUAGAUCCAGCCAUGAUACUGACCCUAAGAGAAUGAGACGCUCUGCAGAAGACAGAAGAUUCCUGAAACUGGGAAAGGUGCCUAGAAAUCCUGAUAAGAGUGAAGAAGGCUCGGCUCUCCAGUGUGGUUUUCCAACAGGAGUCAAAUAUUAAAGGACAUGAGCGUGUUGGGGAAAAAGAUGGAUAGUGCUAAACAGCCUGAGUUCAUCCUCACUAUCCUCUUCAUAAGGAGAGCAAGAACAACCCCGGAAAUGGCUCAUGCUUAAGGUUUCUAACCACGGUCACACCUACAACACACUGAUUGACAAUAUAGGUUACAGUACACA